UACGAAGGGGGCUAGCGUUGCUCGGAAUCACUGGGCGUAAAGCGCACGUAGGCGGAUUGUUAAGUCAGGGGUGAAAUCCUGGAGCUCAACUCCAGAACUGCCUUUGAUACUGGCGAUCUCGAGUCCGGGAGAGGUGAGUGGAACUGCGAGUGUAGAGGUGAAAUUCGUAGAUAUUAGGAAGAACACCGGUGGCGAAGGCGGCCCACUGGUCCGGUACUGACGCUGAGGUGCGAAAGCAUGGGGAGCAAACAGG
rnacentral:rRNA from 1 species